GUCUACGGCCACACCACCCUGAAUGCGCCUGACCUCGCCUGAUCUCGGAAGCUAAGCAGGGUCGGGCCUGGCUAGUACUUGGAGGAGAGACUGCCUGGGAAUACCGGGUGCUGUAGGCU
rnacentral:rRNA from 1 species